rnacentral:rRNA from 1 species
ACUCCUACGGGAGGCAGCAGUGGGGAAUAUUGGACAAUGGGAACCGUAGCAUCAGCCAUGCCGCGCUGUGUGAAGAAGGCCUUCGGGUUGUAAAGCACUUUCAGUAGGGAGGAAGGUAGUGUAGUUAACACCUGCACUAUUUGACGUUAGCGACAGAAGAAGCACCGGCUAACUCCGUGCCAGCAGCCGCGGUAAUACGGAGGGUGCGAGCGUUAAUCGGAAUUACUGGGCGUAAAGCGCGUGUAGGUGGCUUGUUAAGCCAGAUGUGAAAG